GAAGGAUUCAAAAAUGGCGCCAAACAAAGUGAUGCUAUUUGUCUGCUGGGAUUGGGAAAGAAUCGCAAUAUGAUCUGGUGUCCGCUAACAAAGCGGCUGAUUUGAUCAACAAGUGACCGGACUACAACAUGCCAUCGAAAGAGGGACCUGACCGCUGGAGGUCAGUCCCAUAUCAUCAGCUUGGCUACAUUCGAUAAGCUGCAUAAAUUUGCAAUUGAACGAUUUUUCCGAUGAUUCAGCACGGAUUAGAGAAAACAUGUUCAUCAAUAAAUUGCUACGCCUAUGAUCACAUGCUAAAAAACGCUAGAAAAUAUUUAGAACGACGGAGCGAGCCGAUAAAUAGCUUCCCGUUUCAAGCCUGUCUUCGUAUUAAUAACCAACUGUUUAACAGCGGUUGAUUAAAAUUGAAUUUAUAGAAGAAACGCCACUCGUUUUAUCUGUCCCGCGAACCUUCCAGCCAAUCAGUAGUCCUGACUAUCUCUACAGAGCGACACAUGUUUCUUUUUUUAAUGCGUCCGAAGUAUCAGUAUGUGUAAGUGAGACACUUAAACCUAGCAGUUGCAGAUGUGAGAAGGGUAGAGAACCGAUUGUAUUCCGGUGUUUUAUGGUCAGCGGACUUCCGAACGGAAUGGGAUCGAAAACGCAUUCGCAAUGAAGCACGGUCGUAAGGAAAAUAAUAGCAAGGCCUCAUUACAUUAUUCUGUAGGCAACCGAAUAGAAAUGGCAGAAACGUGUGCCAUUUCAAUGCAUCCUUAUAUAUGGAACCUUGCAUAAAUAAAAGGUCUGUGAUUCUUACAAAAAAGCCUAUCGUAUUUGCUCCGAACGAAUGAAAAUCAAACAGAAAGUAUUACUUAGAACAAUAUGCGAUAAA